rnacentral:rRNA from 1 species
UACGUAGGGGGCGAGCGUUGUUCGGAAUUACUGGGCGUAAAGCGCGUGUAGGCGGCCUAGUGUGUCGGGCGUGAAAUCCCACGGCUCAACCGUGGAAGUGCACUCGAAACUGCAAGGCUGGAGUACUGGAGAGGAUGGUAGAAUGCUCGGUGUAGAGGUGAAAUUCGUAGAUAUCGAGCGGAAUACCGGUGGCGAAGGCGGCCAUCUGGACAGUCACUGACGCUGAGACGCGAAAGCGUGGGGAGCAAACAGG